UCUUAUGCAUAAUACAAUCAUCUAGAACUACAUCACCCCACAGAGGGAUGCUACACAAACCAACAAUUACACAUCUACCACAACCAUAAUUAUGUUUCCCAAAACGCCCUUACACAUUCAUCAAAACCUUGCACCAAAUCUUAUGGGUUUAGCUAGUUGUAGAUUCUAACAGGUUUCUCAAAUGUGUUACCUGAUUCGCAGCAUAUGACCGUUUAGAUGUAUUGUCAGAGUGCUCCACUCCUAGGUACUGUUCCCAAGCACCAUAA
rnacentral:lncRNA from 1 species